GAUGAACGCUAGCGGCAGGCUUAAUACAUGCAAGUCGAGGGGCAGCGCGGACUUCGGUCUGGCGGCGACCGGCAAACGGGUGAGGAACACGUACACAACCUUCCUUUAAGUGGAGGAUAGCCCAGGGAAACUUGGAUUAAUACUUCGUAAGAUGUUGGAGAGGCAUCUCUUUGAUAUUAUAGUGGCAACACGCUUAAAGACGGGUGUGCGUAUGAUUAGGUAGUUGGCGGGGUAAAGGCCCACCAAGCCUACGAUCAUUAACUGGUGUGAGAGCACGACCAGUCACACGGGCACUGAGACACGGGCCCGACUCCUACGGGAGGCAGCAGUAAGGAAUAUUGGUCAAUGGAGGGAACUCUGAACCAGCCAUGCCGCGUGGAGGAUGAAGGUCCUCUGGAUUGUAAACUUCUUUUAUCUGGGACGAAAAAAGGGAAUUCUUUCUCGACUGACGGUACCAGAUGAAUAAGCACCGGCUAACUCCGUGCCAGCAGCCGCGGUAAUAC
rnacentral:rRNA from 1 species